CACGUAGGGCGCGAGCGUUGUCCGGAAUUAUUGGGCGUAAAGAGCUCGUAGGCGGCCUGUUGCGUCCGCUGUGAAAGCCCGGGGCUUAACCCCGGGUCGGCAGUGGAUACGGGCAGGCUAGAGGUAGGUAGGGGAGAAUGGAAUUCCCGGUGUAGCGGUGGAAUGCGUAGAGAUCCGGAAGAACACCGGUGGCGAAGGCGGUUAGCUGGGCAGUUGCUGACACUGAGGCGCGACAGCGUGGGGAGCAACAGG
rnacentral:rRNA from 1 species